GACGAACGCUGGCGGCGUGCUUAACACAUGCAAGUCGAACGAAGUGGCGAACGGGUGAGUAACGCGUAAUCAACCUGCCCUUCAGAGGGGGACAACAGUUGGCAACGACUGCUAAUACCGCAUACUUAAGGAGGGGAUUGCGUCUGAUUAGCUCGUUGGGGGGGUAACGGCCCACCAGGGCGAUGAUCAGUAGGCGGGCUGAGAGGAUGAACGGCCACAUUGGGACUGAGAAACGGCCCAGACUCCUACGGGAGGCAGCAGGGGGGAAUUUUCGGCAAUGGACGAAAGGCUGACGGAGCAACGCCGGGGGAGUGAUGACGGCCUUCGGGGUGUAAAGGUCUGUUAAUCGGGACGCGGUACCGGAAGAGAAAGCCACGGCUAACUACGUGCCAGCAGCCGCGGUAAUAC
rnacentral:rRNA from 1 species